CUCAAAGAUUAAGCCAUGCAUGUCUAAGUAUAAGCAACUAUACUGUGAAACUGCGAAUGGCUCAUUAAAUCAGUUAUCGUUUAUUUGAUAGUACCUUUACCUGGAUAACCGUGGUAAUUCUAGAGCUAAUACAUGCUAAAAACCUCGACUUCGGAAGGGGUGUAUUUAUUAGAUAAAAAACCAAUGCCCUUCGGGGCUCCUUGGUGAAUCAUAAUAACUUAACGAAUCGCAUGGCCUUGCGCCGGCGAUGGUUCAUUCAAAUUUCUGCCCUAUCAACUUUCGAUGGUAAGAUAGAGGCUUACCAUGGUCUUAACGGGUAACGGGGAAUUAGGGUUCUAUUCCGGAGAGGGAGCCUGAGAAACGGCUACCACAUCCAAGGAAGGCAGCAGGCGCGCAAAUUACCCAAUCCCGACACGGGGAGGUAGUGACAAUAAAUACUGAUACGGGGCUCUUUUGGGUCUCGUAAUUGGAAUGAGUACAAUCUAAAUCCCUUAACGAGGAACAAUUGGAGGGCAAGUCUGGUGCCAGCAGCCGCGGUAAUUCCAGCUCCAAUAGCGUAUAUUAAAGUUGUUGCCGUUAAAAAGCUCGUAGUUGAACCUUGGGCCUGGCUGACCUGUCCUCCUAAUCGAGCGCACGGGUUCGGUCGGGCCUUUCCUUCUAGGGAACCCCAUGCCCUUCACUGGGUGUGGUGGGGAACUAGGAC
rnacentral:rRNA from 1 species